rnacentral:rRNA from 1 species
CCCAGACUCCUACGGGAGGCAGCAGUGGGGAAUAUUGCACAAUGGGGGAAACCCUGAUGCAGCGACGCCGCGUGAGCGAGGAAGUAUUUCGGUAUGUAAAGCUCUGUCAGCAGGGAAGAAGAAUGACGGUACCUGAAGAAGAAGCACCGGCUAAAUACGUGCCAGCAGCCGCGGUAAUACGUAUGGUGCAAGCGUUAUCCGGAUUUACUGGGUGUAAAGGGAGCGCAGGCGGUUCUGCAAGUCUGAUGUGAAAGCCCGGGGCUCAACCGCGGGACUGCAUUGGAAACUGCGGGACUGGAGUGUCGGAGGGGUAAGCGGAAUUCCUGGUGUAGCGGUGAAAUGCGUAGAUAUCAGGAGGAACACCGGUGGCGAAGGCGGCUUACUGGACGAUGACUGACGCUGAGGCUCGAAAGCGUGGGGAGCAAACAGGAUUAGAUACCCGUGUAC